rnacentral:lncRNA from 1 species
AAGAGGAGGAGCAGGGUUGAAAAGUUCAUGUACCAGAGCCUGCCCUACCUGAGGGACCCUCAGUCCCCUGUGCGCCUGGCAGCCGUCAGGUUCAUCGGGUGCGCCACGAGGCACAUGAGGGACCAGGACAUGGAGACCCAGGCUCACAUCCUCACUGCCCUUCAGCCCUUGGAGAGAGACAAGGACAUCUCAAUCAGCUCCCUGGCAGCCCACACAGGCUUGCUCCUGAGAGCUCCAAGGGUGCAGAGAAGAUCGUGGGUCAUUCUACACACACUGUGCUGCUGGUGUCGGUGAGCUCAGCAGAGCUGCAGCUGUCUGUGCAUUAAUAAAGCUGGAGAAACACAUCCA